rnacentral:ncRNA from 2 species
GCUUAGCCCCGAUUGAAGUGGCAUCCUUUUUAAUUGUCAGUUCGAGUGAAUUUGUGAAGAAUGAGUAAAUUUGUAUCGAGAACAAAUUAAAAAGAUAUAACGGAAAGCGGGAAUUAGC